rfam:Schistosoma curassoni strain Dakar, Senegal genome assembly, scaffold: SCTD_scaffold0002373
AUCCAGCCGACGAGUCACAAAUAGGACGAGACGCGCGUCCUGGUAU